rnacentral:rRNA from 1 species
AGUGAACGCUGGCGGUAUGCCUAACACAUGCAAGUCGAACGGCAGCACAGUAAGAGCUUGCUCUUACGGGUGGCGAGUGGCGGACGGGUGAGGAAUACAUCGGAAUCUACUUUUUCGUGGGGGAUAACGUAGGGAAACUUACGCUAAUACCUCAUACGACCUACGGGUGAAAGCAUGGGAUCUUCGGACCUUUCGCGAUUGAAUGAGCCGAUGUCGGAUUAGCUAGUUGGCGGGGUAAAGGCCCACCAAGGCGACGAUCCGUAGCUGGUCUGAGAGGAUGAUCAGCCACACUGGAACUGAGACACGGUCCAGACUCCUACGGGAGGCAGCAGUGGGGAAUAUUGGACAUUGGGCGCAAGCCUGAUCCAGCCAUACCGCGUGGGUGAAGAAGGCCUUCGGGUUGUAAAGCCCUUUUGUUGGGAAAGAAAAGCAGCAGGUUAAUACCCCGCUGUUCUGACGGUACCCAAAGAAUAAGCACCGGCUAACUUCGUG